rnacentral:sRNA from 1 species
UUCAAAUCGAAACACGAGAAUUUAGGAGGUUUGCCAUGUAUCUGGACACUGUUGUUAUCGCUGGCAUCGUAACUGUGCUGCUGGUGGUGGCAUUUUUUGUAGGGUUUGGCGUCUUUAUUAUGCGCGAUCAAAAAGCCCAUGGCCCUGACGCUAAUGAAAUCGCGGGUAAGAAGAUAGACAAGCCAUCUUAAUU